UACGUAGGGUGCAAGCGUUGUCCGGAUUUAUUGGGCGUAAAGAGCUCGUAGGCGGUUCGGUAAGUCGGGUGUGAAAACUCUGGGCUCAACCCAGAGACGCCACCCGAUACUGCUGUGACUAGAGUGCGGUAGGGGAGCGGGGAAUUCCUGGUGUAGGCGGUGAAAUGCGCAGAUAUCAAGGAGGAACACCAGUGGCGAAGGCGCCGCUCUGGGCCGUGACUGACGUGAGGAGCGAAAGCGUGGGUAGCAAACAGGA
rnacentral:rRNA from 1 species